AGUGGCGGACGGGUGAGUAACGCGUGAGAAUCUGCCUUCAGGUCGGGGACAACAGAGGGAAACUUCUGCUAAUCCCGGAUGAGCCUUAGGGUAAAAAAUUUAUUGCCUGGAGAUGAGCUCGCGUCUGAUUAGCUAGUUGGUAAGGUAAAAGCUUACCAAGGCAACGAUCAGUAGCUGGUCUGAGAGGAUGAGCAGCCACACUGGGACUGAGACACGGCCCAGACUCCUACGGGAGGCAGCAGUGGGGAAUUUUCCGCAAUGGGCGAAAGCCUGACGGAGCAAGACCGCGUGGGGGAGGAAGGCUCUAGGGUUGUAAACCCCUUUUCUUUGGGAAGAACAAAAUGACGGUACCAAAGGAAUCAGCCUCGGCUAACUCCGUGCCAGCAGCCGCGGUAAUACGGAGGAGGCAAGCGUUAUCCGGAAUGAUUGGGCGUAAAGCGUCCGCAGGUGGCAAUGUAAGUCUGCUGUCAAAACCCAGGGCUCAACUCUGGUCAGGCAGUGGAAACUACAUAGCUAGAGUUCGGUAGGGGCAAAGGGAAUUCCCGGUGUAGCGGUGAAAUGCGUAGAGAUCGGGAAGAACAUCGGUGGCGAAAGCGCUUUGCUAGACCGAAACUGACACUCAGGGACGAAAGCUAGGGGAGCGAAUGGGAUUAGAUACCCC
rnacentral:rRNA from 1 species